UACGGGGGGGGUAAGCGUUGUUCGGAAUUACUGGGCGUAAAGGGCUCGUAGGCGGCCAACUAAGUCAUACGUGAAAUCCCUUAGCUUAACUGGGGAACUGCGUGUGAUACUGGAUGGCUUGGAUUUGGGAGAGGGAUGCGGAAUUCCAGGUGUAGCGGUGAAAUGCGUAGAUAUCUGGAGGAACACCGAUGGCGAAGGCAGCCCCCUGGGCUAGCACUGACGCUCAGGCACGAAAGCGUGGGGAGCAAACAGG
rnacentral:rRNA from 1 species